rnacentral:rRNA from 1 species
GUGAGGAAUAUUGCGCAAUGGAGGCAACUCUGACGCAGCCAUGCCGCGUGCAGGAAGAAGGCGCUACGCGUUGUAAACUGCUUUUAACCGGGAAGAAACCCCAGGACGUGUCCUGGGUUGACGGUACCGGAGGAAUAAGCACCGGCUAACUUCGUGCCAGCAGCCGCGGUAAUACGAAGGGUGCAAGCGUUAUCCGGAUUCAUUGGGUUUAAAGGGUGCGUAGGCGGAGCGUUAAGUCAGUGGUGAAAUCCUGCAGCUUAACUGUAGACUUGCCAUUGAUACUGGCGCUCUUGAGUGCGCUGGAAGUGGGCGGAAUGUGCCGUGUAGCGGUGAAAUGCUUAGAUAUGGCACAGAACACCAAUUGCGAAGGCAGCUCACUAAGGUGAUACUGACGCUGAGGCACGAAAGCGUGGGGAUCGAACAGGAUUAGAAACCCGGGUAGUCC